UGGGGUGGCAGAAAUUAGAAAGCUGAAUAACACCAAGUGCUGGCGGGGAUAUGAGGGUUUAAGAAUGGGCCACUCUGCUGAGAGGAAGACUACUGAAUUAAAACUACUGACACCCUGAGUGCCAGCAGCCCCCUCACACAGGAUGGGAGGGUCAUGGUAGGGGUUUGCGUCACAGUAUUGUGUUGGUGUCGGGAACAUCUGGGUGUCAUCCUUGUUGGAGUGGUUUGGGCAGGUUGUGGUAGCUACAUAUCAUGGAGUGCCGUGUAGUAGUUGGAAGAAACAGAUUAGAUGGACACUCAGUAGCGUGCGUGGGUCUUUGAAACAUAGGGCAGGGUGGAAAAGUAAAAAACAGGAUAGAAUUCCUGCUGUGGUGCAGCGGGUUAAGAAUCCCACCGUAGUGGCUCAGGUCACUGUGGAGGCAUGGGUUUGAUUCCAGGCCCAGCAUAGCAGGUUAAGGAUCUGGCAUUGCCACAGCUACGGCAUAGGUUGAAGCUGUGGCUGGCCUGGGAACUUCCAUAUGCCAUUGGUGCGACCAAAAAACAAAACUAGAUGGAGAUAUACAGCAUAACACUAUUUGUGUAAGGUUUAAAAAUAUGUAUGCACAAAAGAAAUAUAAGUACUUUGCAAAAGCACAGAUAAACCAAGGGAUACAUAAUACAUUGAGAGGGUUGCCCGUGGGAAGAUGGGCACGAGGAAUAGGGAUAAAAUCAGAUUUUAAAGAGCUCUGAUAACUUCAACCUUCUUUUGCUUAAUGCAUCUUCUAGCUCCAUCUUUAAAAAUGCCCUCCUCUAUAAUUUCUUCUGAUUCCCUUCUCAAAGGUCUCAGGCCUCACCUGUCAAUCUCCCUUCAGAGAGCUCCUCUUAGGCCAUGUCUGACAACUUAUAAGUUAAUGUUUACAAAUAUUCACAUUUACUCUGAACAAGUACUCAGCACACUGCAGUGGCCAACAUGCAAUCCCAUGGGACUAGAGAUUGUGGGGAACAGGAAGACUUGAAGGGAGACCCUGUCUUACUAGUCAUGGUAUCUGGCACCUGGGAGCUGCUCAAUGUCUUUUGAAGGAAUCAAAGAAAUUCUAGCUCUGCUGUUUACCAACUGUGUCAGCCAGGGCACACACCUUCACCUCUCUCGGUUUUGAUUUCCAUCUCUGUCAAGUGGAGAUAAUAAUUGCAAUUCGGACCACACAGGGUUUUGUGAAGCUUAGAUGAGAUCGAUGCUUUGGAAAGCACUUCAUUAACUGUAGAGAGUUAUCUGUGCAACAGAAAAAGAGUAGAGAAAAGAAAGCAGGGGGCUCAAAUUCCAGCACUUGUGCAAAUGAGCUGUGGGACCUUGAAUAAGGUAGCAAUCUCUCGUCUCAGGUUUUAAAUUCUGCAAAAUAAAAAACAACAAUGUCGACCAUGUAGGGUUAUUAUAAGGAUGAAUGACGAUGUUACGAGGAUGAACAGUACCACAUAUUUGCUAUUCAAUAGUAGGUGUUUAGAAAAUGGGGGCCUCUAUAUCUUCAUUUGUUCAUUUAUUCAGUGAAUCCUCACUGAAUGUCUACAAUGGGCCAGGCAAGGUCUAGACCCUGGGAAUGGAGCAGUGAACAAAAUGGAUAAAAACCCCCAAAUUCCUGUCCUUUGGUCUAAGGGAGAGGGGUCAAAGAAGAAACAAAAUUAAUAAGAUAUGUAUAUGCUAGUUGAUGACAAAGGCUGUGGAAAAAACAAGGCAGGAAAAUGGAAUAGGGGAGUCGCAGGGUGGUGGUGGAAAGGAUUUCCUUUUUAUGUAGAGUGGUUGGGAAAAGCCUAGUGGAGAAGGUGAUGGCUUGAGUAAAGACCUGCAGAAGGAGAGAAAGCAAGCCCUGGGGAGGUGCAAAGGCCCUGAGGUAGGUCCACACCUGGUGUGUUCAAGGCACAGCAAGGAGGCCGGGGUGGCUGAGAUGAGCUCAGAGAGCUAAAGGCAGCAGUAGGGCUGCUGGUAGAAGCCCCACUUAAAGACUGCUAUAAAUUACACCCAGCUGGACAGGGAUAUCUUGGGGGAGGAGGAAAGAUUGAGGGAGUGAUUUUGGGGGAUGGAGGAAUAACCCAGGUAAGUGUAUUAUUUAUCUAUGGCCACCUAACAAAUUACCCCCAAACUCAGCAGCUUAAAACAACAAUCAUUUAUUAUCUCAGAGUUUCUGUGGGUCACAAAUUCAGGCACCCCUUAGGUCUCUCACAUGGCUGCAAUCAAGGUGACUAGGCUGCAGUUAUCUGAAGACUUGACUGGGGAGGGUCACUCUUUGGCUGUAAACAGAAUUCAGUUCCUUUCAGGCUGCUGGCCAGAGGUCUCAGUUCCUUGCCAAGGGGGUCUCCCCUAGUUCUUGGCUUCAGAGCAAGAGACUGUGCCCAAGAGGGAAGCCACAGUCUUUUAAUAACAUAACCUUGGAAGUGACUUCUCCUGAUUGCUGCUUCAUUCUAUUUGCUAGAAAAAGGAGGUUACACAUGAAUAUCAAGGGAGGGGAAUCAGCUGUGCAAUCAGAAGUGAGGUUGCCUAACACCACGGAUUGUCAGGUGUGGCAUAACUGCCAAAGACUAGAGAAGGAUGAGAAAUUAUUUGUCCAGAUGCAGCAGGGACAUCUGAGACUUACUUCAUCGGUACCAUCCGGUUGUACGACUUUCUUCAAGACCUAUGAGUAACUGAACAAGGACGAACCUAUCUAGCUAGCAGUUCUCUGGCUCUCUUCUAUAUGGUCCUCCGAACCUGGCUAAUUAGGCUCUCUGGCUGCUCAUGCUGGGGCUAGGUUUCAACUCGCAGGGAAACGGUGUGCGUUAGAAGUGUGUGCGCGCAUGCGCACGCCCAGAUCUGGGCUGAUCUUCUGUGAUGUCUGCCUCUCGCGUCCCACUCUUCCCUGAGCCCGGAGACCCCCGGGUUCACCUUUCUUCUGCUCCCUCCUCUGCACUUUGUCGAAGGUCACGUGGGAGGAAACAAGCCCCACGCGGUUUUAAUCAUUUUGCUAUAAAAGCCGAGCUGCUCUCGGCUUUGAUCCGGGCUGAGCUGCUGGAGGAAGGGCUGGGGGCCCGGCCGGCCUGUCCGCAGAGCAGCUCCGCGCACACGGCUCCCACAUCAGACGACAGCCGUAAAAUGGAGCACAGCUCAUUAAUUCUCCCUCUUAACCAGGGCACCUGACAAGAAGUGACUUUGAAAACCCGGAGGACGGAUGGGCGGGCGGGUAGCCGGCUCUGGGGCUAUGCGAGGAACAUCUGUUUCCAGGUCCCUGGCUGUUAAAUUGACAUCUUUUUAUUUGAAACGUUUCUUUUAUUUCCCAACUUCCUGCAAUUGGCAAGGUCUCUGUGCCAGGGAGUAGACAGCGUGGCUUUGUGGGCCGUAGGAGCUGAGUGGCUUUGCCGUCCUACAUGACUGGCUUGUAAGUACCAGAGUGGGCAGCCUGGCACUCUGUCAAUUAUUAAACCUCUAUUUGUGCAGAGAACAUCAAACCCCAUAAAAAACCAAAAUGGCCUUGAAAUUGAAAACCCAGUGAACGUCUGUGAGCCUCCAUAUGAGAAAUAUUAGCUUUUCAGAACUAGAAAAUUCACUUGGAGCCUGGCAUUUUCCAUCAAGAGUCUUCUCUCUCCUGGAACCCAGCAAUUAAGCUUCCUUAACAAGAAUGAUCCAACCUCUGUGCCUAUAGCCUUCAUCCUGGAUGCUGAAAUAACUACUGGUGGUCAAAGACUGAGAUCACACCUUUAAUCUUGACCUGGUCAAAGUCACUAGCAAAGACUGGCUUGACCUUUCUCAGGUUGACAGCUCAGGGCUCUUAGGAUGGGGGAUUGGAAAUGGUGGGUAGAUGAUUCUGUUUCUCUCUUCUUCAUCCUAGGGAUAUUUGGAGCAUCUUAUAUUCCUGGAAGUCUGAUCCACAUGCUUUACCCUUCAUUCUUCAGGGUCCACCCUUGGCUAGGUGAAUCGCUGUCAGCAGGACAGGUUAGCAGUCAGUCCCAAGGGAUCACCAAGAGAAAAUUACAUCUGAUAUAUCCUUUGGUGUGCACAAAUGCAUGUGCUUGUGUACACACGCAUGUGUGGUGCCAGAAUGUGAGUUUGAAUUGGUACAUCUGUGUUAAAGUGGGGGUCCCAUGAUGUCUUUGUGUUUCUGAAGCAUGUGCCUAAGAAGUGAGUGGAAGAGUGCAUAAUGUAUCUUUGUCACAGUGUAUUUCUGUGUGUAAAGGUGCACAAGGAACUGCUAGGAUGAAGUGGCUGUGCGCAUUUGUAGAUGUGUGUAAGAAUGAGAAUUCCCUUGUUUUUAUGUUUCCUGAAGGUGGUGGGGAUGUUCUUGUUGGUUCUGCUUUACCAGUGAUUCUAACACUCAUUCCCCCUAAUAUCCAAGACCUUGGAUAUUCCCAUCCCCAGCCCUUUGAAGCUCCCAUUAAAAUUGUAGGCUUUUAAGUAAGAUUGCCUGGGUUUGCCUUCUGGCUCCAUUUCUUUCUAGCCACAUGAUCUUGGGCAAGUUGCUUAACCUCUAUAGACCUCAGUUUCCUUUUCUGUAAAAGGAGAGUAAAGUGGUGCCAAAUUGGAGAAUCCAUGAAAUAGUUCAUGUAAAGCAAUUUGAAACUCCCUGCCUAGAUGUCAUCGCACCACCCUUGUCAUGUCCAUCACUUCCACGUCUUAUCUCAAAUUCUGUAUUUACAUUGUGCCCUCACUGGUCUUCCAUUCUCCUGCAUCUUCCUUCAUUUCAUUAUCAACCUGCAUUGACUUGAUUAUUGCAACCUCUUUGCCAUUGCUGUGGUGAACCACCUUUCCAAUCCAAGCCACCAAGCUAGGGAUUUUCCAGAAGGUGAAACUGCUAGGUAUGACCCAGCCAAGAGGGGUCACUUGAGUGGCAGAACCAGAGUAUUGACAAGCUUUGAUCUCUCAACUACUUGGGUGGAGAACAAGAGCAGGUGAGUGCAUGCAGAAGGGGAGCCAUCCAAAUGGACUCCCCUGGCAGGUUUCCUCCUUCCCUUCCUGUCUUCCUCUUUGGGCCUGGCUUGGGUUAAGGAAGGAGGCCCCAAAGCUAUGCCUAUUGUCUGCUCUCUGUCAGCUUGGUAGUAUCCCAGAAAGAAAGUCAACGGCCUGGUCAUUUUGGCUUUUCCAUUCCAAUUUGAAUAUAUUAAAAUGCAGCCUUCCAGCUGGGUAAAUCCCCAGGCCAUUGAAAUAAAAGGUUUUUAACUUUAACCAUUAAAGAUUUAACUAGCCAAUAAAUCUAAGCAUGUGGGGGGUUGUUACCAAACGUUUAUUACAUUGCUCUUGCUUUUAACUUAAGAGCAAAUGCCAAGUGUGGACUUCCAUGAAAAAGACAUUUCCUUAUGGUCAAAACUGAUGUCAGCGCCCCCCCUCCCGCCCCCACCCCUGACCAAAAAAGCAAGAGAUUGCUGAAUCCAGAAGGGUCCACUCACUUACUUCUCAAAUCCCUUUAGGAGUUAAAAAUGGCUAUAUCAAUUUUACAAACCAAUUUGCUUACUGAAAAAAAGGUCUGUAAUAGCCUCUUGUAGCCAUGGUCAGAACAUGACUGACUAAAUUAAUCCAAAAGUCUACUUUCAGUUUGAGCAUCUUGGCGCCGACUUUUCCAGAACCAGAUUUUAUAAAGGCACAAAGGGAAUAUAGCUUUAGUGAAGAAAAUCACAAGAUUUUUCUGUUUUAGUAUCUUCUAGGUGAGUUGGAUAAUCAAUGUCUUGGAUCAUAAUGCUUAGUUUGGCCUUUUUUACCUUUAAGGCGAGCAGGAGAUCUGCCCGGUAGUGAAAUAUGGCUUUUAAUUUACACAAAUGUAAACGUCCAGAACUGAACCAUCAUAUUCACCCUGGGCUUAAAAAAUGAAUAGAAGCCAGAUAAAUCUUGG
rnacentral:lncRNA from 1 species